rnacentral:rRNA from 1 species
CAGUAGCCGCGGUAAAACGGAGGGUGCGAGCGUUAAUCGGAAUUACUGGGCGUAAAGGGUGCGUAGGUGGUUUGAUAAGUUAUCUGUGAAAUCCCUGGGCUUAACCUGGGCAGGUCAGAUAGGACUGUUGGACUCGAGUAUAGGAGAGGGUAGUGGAAUUUCCGGUGUAGCGGUGAAAUGCGUAGAGAUCGGAAGGAACACCAGUGGCGAAGGCGGCUACCUGGCCUGAUACUGACACUGAGGCACGAAAGCGUGGGGAGCAAACAGGAUUAGAUACCCCGGUAGUCCCUGUCUCUUAUAC